rnacentral:rRNA from 1 species
GAUAAACGCUGGCGGCGUGCUUAACACAUGCAAGUCGAACGAAGUUUUUCCUUCGGGAGAAACUUAGUGGCGGACGGGUGCGUAACGCGUGGGUAACCUGCCCUGUACAGGGGGACAACAGCUGGAAACGGCUGCUAAUACCGCAUAAGCACUUAGCACUGCAUGGUGCAUAGGGAAAAGGAGCAAUCCGGUACAGGAUGGACCCGCGUCUGAUUAGCCAGUUGGCAGGGUAACGGCCUACCAAGGCGACGAUCAGUAGCCGAUCUGAGAGGAUGUACGGCCACAUUGGGACUGAGACACGGCCCAGACUCCUACGGGAGGCAGCAGUGGGGAAUAUUGCACAAUGGAGGAAACUCUGAUGCAGCGACGCCGCGUGAGUGAAGAAGUAUUUCGGUAUGUAAAGCUCUAUCAGCAGGGAAGAAAAUGACGGUACCUGACGAAGAAGCACCGGCUAAAUACGUG